rnacentral:rRNA from 1 species
UACGGAGGAUGCGAGCGUUAUCCGGAUUUAUUGGGUUUAAAGGGUGCGUAGGCGGACUGUCAAGUCAGCGGUAAAAUUGAGAGGCUCAACCUCAUCCCGCCGUUGAAACUGGUGGUCUUGAGUGGAUGAGAAGUACGCGGAAUGCGUGGUGUAGCGGUGAAAUGCAUAGAUAUCACGCAGAACUCCGAUUGCGAAGGCAGCGUACCGGCAUCCAACUGACGCUGAGGCACGAAAGCGUGGGGAUCAAACAGG